GACGAACGCUGGCGGCGUGCUUAACACAUGCAAGUCGAACGGAAAGGCCCUGCUUUUGUGGGGUGCUCGAGUGGCGAACGGGUGAGUAACACGUGAGUAUCCUGCCCUUGACUUUGGGAUAACUUCAGGAAACUGGGGCUAAUACCGGAUAGGAGCUCCUGCUGCAUGGUGGGGGUUGGAAAGUUUCGGCGGUUGGGGAUGGACUCGCGGCUUAUCAGCUUGUUGGUGGGGUAGUGGCUUACCAAGGCUUUGACGGGUAGCCGGCCUGAGAGGGUGACCGGCCACAUUGGGACUGAGAUACGGCCCAGACUCCUACGGGAGGCAGCAGUGGGGAAUAUUGCACAAUGGGCGGAAGCCUGAUGCAGCAACGCCGCGUGCGGGAUGACGGCCUUCGGGUUGUAAACCGCUUUCGCCUGUGACGAAGCGUGAGUGACGGUAAUGGGUAAAGAAGCACCGGCUAACUACGUG
rnacentral:rRNA from 1 species